CACCACCCAUUGGUGUAAAAAUAGUGAAACUUCUCCUUACAAAUAUAUACAUAUGUGUUUGUAAUUAUAUAUAUAUAACAUACAGAUAUAAUUGGUUUCUUAAUUUUAGAAGCAAUAAGAUCAUUAUAGAAAAGUAGAAAAUAUAGAAAAAGAAAAUAAUCAUUCAGUGAGACAACUCACUUUUACCAUUUCAGGAUUUUUUUUUCCAGUUCCUUUCCUAUGCACAAGUUGUGAUCAUAUUCUACAUCGUUUCACGACCUCCAUAAAUGCAUGUCACAAAGUACUUACAUAUUUUCUUUCCUAAAAUUUAAAUGCAAUGAUGUGGCAAGUACAAAAUAGAAAGCAAAGCCCAGGUGUAAAAACUUUGCCUUGAGGUCAAAAUUACAGCUUUUAAUUCUAACUGCUGUAACCUCGAAAGAGAAAACAGCUACAGAGAAAGGAACGUUUGAGUAACAGGGGGAGAUUCUUCCAGCAGCUCAUGGUUUCUGAAAGACAUUCUUUUUCUCACCCAAAGUCAUGUGGGCCAUAAACUCACAACGAACUGACUAACCACAAAGCAGCAGAGGCGUGGUAGACAUUCCAGAGGCACCAAGGGCCACCUCAGGAGCCCUGCCUUCUGCCCUUCCUUCUUUUCAAAUAGCCCUGAAGCCACAACUGAGGCCAGGAAUAGCAAUGGCAACUGACCGGGCAGGUGAUAAAGAGUCUUUGUCCUAAGGGCUAACCUUAGAACCCCCACAAGCUGAAAGGGCUCUGGCAUUAAUGCAAUAGGUGAUUCCAGGCCACAGUCUCUCCAGGAUAGACCAGGAAAGGUGGGCAGGAAGUACCCACAUGAUGAGAGAGGCUGAGGACAGGGACCACUUGCAAGGCAGUUGGAAUAAUGAGAGCAAAACCUCAGAGGCAUGCAAAUGCAUGGCAUGUAUUUAAUUAUGUCAAAGGCAUGACUUAACUUUUUGGAAAUAUUAUUUGUGUGUCAUUACAAAUCGAGGGGCUAAGAAAACUAAUAUAAUUAAACCACAUUUGAUAAGUAAAUAAAUAAGGGCUCUAACAAUGUUUAUGACUAUCUAUAUUGGCUGUCUAUCCCAUUCAUAUGUUGUCACUGGAAAACAAAUCAGCAGCCCAUUUGCUACAGUGGAAAAAGUAAAAGGGUUUCAACUACAGAGCUGCACAGUUCUAGGGGAAACUUUUUCUUGUCUGCAAGUUUGAGAAUUCCAUCAAGACAUAAGAACCUGAAGUUCCCAUGUGGCUCAGCGGCAACUAAUCCAACUAGAAUCCAUGAGGAUGCGGGUUGAUCCCUGGCCUUGUUCAGUGGGUUAAGGAUCCAGCAUUUCUGUGAUCUGUGGUGUAGGUCUCACACCCGGCUUGGCUCCUACAUUGCUGUGGCUGUGGCUGUGGCUGUGGUGUAGGCAGCUAAAGCUCCAAUUUGACCCCUAGCCUGGGAACUUCCAUAUGCCAUGUGUGUGGCUCUAAAAAGACAAAAAAAUUUUAAAAAGACAGACAUAAGAACCACCAGGUGCCCAAUGCCAGGAGCAAGGGUAAAAAAGUCACAAUGUCUUCACUAGGACAUACAAAUUAUAUGCCACCGCUUAAAGUACAAGUCAUUUUUACCCCCUUAAUACCAGCAUUAGGCUAUGACGUCUGCUUAAAGUCAAGACCUAGGAAGGUCGUCAAUGGCAUAAGUAGUUAGCAAUGCUUUCAUUUCCUUGGGGUAAAGCUGAUCAGUAAGUAAAGAUCUACAUUACUUUACAAAAUAAAGGUCCAAGAGAAUCCUGGGUACAUACUAAGUGAUGGCUUCAGGCUGCAGAAUGAAGGCACACAGCCAAGACCAGAGAUGUGUUGUGUGCAGGGAAAAGAUUUGAAAUUGAAGUUGCUCUCUGAACAGUGAAAUGAGCUCCUGAAUGAAGCUCAAAAAGGAGACAGGGAAAAUGCAGCGUGUAGCCAGACAAACCCAAAUGGAAAUCAGCAUGCCCAUGGCAGAUUUCCUGAAACCUAUCCAGUCAAGUAGAACAAAACAGUAAAGAAGCAAUAAAAGAAUAAAUGACCUAGAAUUACUGGCCUCUCCAAGCAGAACUUGCUACAUAGGGUUGGUUUCCCAAGCAGAUGUGGAGAAAUUGCAGCCCCACAAAGUUUUCAUCAUGGUAGAUGUUCUUUUAAGCUUUAUUAUCUGACAGGACUGUUGAAAGCCAGAACUUAUAAAACUGUGGUUACAAGAAUCACAGGAGUAACCACUAGAAAUCUAUCUCUUGGUACAGUAUUGGGAAAUGUCAUUUGGCUACAGAUUUGUACCAUAAUAAAGCUGUAUAGAUAUACACACUAUAAAUACAGAAGGCAAGAAAUAAAUAACUUUGCUAUUAUAUCCAGAGGCUAAAUGCUGGACCCUUGAUGUGUUAUUGAGAGUAGUUAUUUUAAAAGAAAAAGAAAAUCCACCAAGUUAGGUGACCCUCACUGGACUAUAAAUAACCAUUCAAAGAGAAUUUUGUUUAAAGAAACUGAGAAAUUAUAAAAAGCCUCAGGAUAUGGCUGUGCUGCCUACAGAACCCACCAUAUUCAUUUCUAUUGCCGUGUCCAGAGUUAUACCAAAAAACAAAUUCAACUGCAAUUUGUAUACUUGCCAUUCCUGUGUUUCCUUUAAAAAUGAAUGCUUUCUCCCAAGCCUACAUACUACUGUUUUCUCAAAUGAGAAAAAGAGAAAAUAAUUUCAAUACAAGACUUUUUCCUUCAUGGAUGACAUCUUCUCUCCAUGGGCCUGACUGUGCUCCCUUCCACUGUCCCCUCCAAGCCUUUUUCAAGCAAGCCCCACCUCCUCGAUGAGGCCACUCCCACACUAACCUCCAGCCAGGGGUUCUGUUCUGAUCACUCAUGUGAAAAGCCAUUUGCAGGGAUGAUGUCAUAUUCCUUUACACAGGCAGGACAGUACGAUAGGGAAAGCGGGAGCUUGGACUUGAAUACCCCCCAAGCGGUGUUCCCCAGUUCCACCAGUGGUGGAGUUCCACUAGUGGUGCCCUUUGUUGGUCUUGAAACCACCGAGCCGGUUUCCUCUUCUGCCCAGUGAGGACUCUCUUAAGGGCUCACUGUGAGACCCAGGCUCAUCAAUGAGGGAGAUCUUUAUAAAGUACAAAGUACUCUACAAAGGAAAUUGCUGUUUCAGAAGUAUUUGGGGAGCACCAAUUACGUGCAGGACCACAAUUUCGAACACUGCAUAGUAAUAACACCUGAAGGAAGACAAAUGCCCAACUCUCUAGGACCUUCAAAUGUAGCAGAGAAAUGAAGACAUGACUUAUAGGGUUGUAAAUAGUAAGUGCCCAAAGCAAUACCCUAGGACUUCAAUCCAAUUUAAUAAACAUCCAUGAAAUAGGCUUCUGAGAUACAAAAGUAAACAUGGUGGGUCACUGUCACCCAUCUGGCAGGAAGAACAGACACCCAAGGAUGGUGUCAGUACAAGCAGAUGGUGAUAUGCUAUUUGUAAAGAAAAAGCUUACUGGGAAUGGAUUAUUAGUCUUUUCCUACAAACAUGCACACAAAAAUAAACUAAAACAGCACUCCCAGGGCUGCUCAGGGGACUAACCAAGAAACCUGACCUAGUUAUCUUUAUGCCAGCUUCAUGUAACAUCACUAAACUUGCUAACAAGACAGCAAAAUUGUUUGGGAGGGAAAUUAUCUUUCCAUGCUAAUAAGACUCUGAGCUGAGAAAGCAAAGAAGCAUAUUCUGUGGAAAGUAAUUAAGACAAGACACAGCAUUUUUAUAGAAACAUUUAGUCAAAGAGAUUGUAAAACCCUGGCGUUGAAUGCCAGGAUAGAUGGAAGCUUUGAGGUCUGAAGAGUUAUUCCUUGCUUCAAUUCCUAGCUUUCAGGUCGGGACUAGAGCAAUGUUCAGGUGCUCUAAAUAUAGUUGUUCACAUCUAAAAUAACAAAACCGGAGUUCCCAUUGUGGCUCAGUGCGUUAUGAACCUGACUAGUUUCCAUGAGGAUGCAGGUUUGAUCCCCGGCCUCAUUCAGUGGGUGAAGGAUCCAGCAUUGCUAUGGCUGUGGGGUAGGCCAGCAGCUGCAACUCCAGUUCGACCCCUAGCCUGGGAACUUCAAUAUGACACAGGUGUGAUCCUAAACAAAAUUUUUAAAUGAUAAAUAAUAAAUAAAAUAAAAUAACAAAACCUUUCACCUUUAAGUUACUAAGUGAAAAUUGAAGCUUACCCCAAUUUAGAAAGAAGAAACUAUGAGAAACUGCAUGUCAAAGUUUUAAUUAUGAGCAGCUACAGCUGUGGUCUCUCUUCAAGUGCUUGGCCUUAUUUGCAGUUUCCUUUCUUCCUGGUUGGUUCCAUUUUCAGGCUAGGCAAUGAGAUUGAGACCCCUUCCUCAAGAGGCAAGCAUUUUUUUCCUGCAGUGCACCGAGUGAAACCCCAUUUUCAUGACUCUCAGUUUGAGUCACUUUGUCCUAUGAAACCUCCAGGGUCAGGUCCAUGUCAUACCAUGCACAUCAUUUUUGCAAAGAAUUCAAGGUUCAUCCUCAAUGAUAUAUAAACCAAAUAUCUAGGGUGACCAACUCAUCCCAGAUUUCCUAGGACUGUCCCAGUUUUAGCACUGAAAGUCUGGUGUGCUGGGAACCACCCUCCCACCCCAGUCCCAAGAAAAUCAAGAGUGUUGUUUACUUUAAAAAACAACCAGAGUCAGAAUCCAGCCUGGAGUGGACUUUGAUCUGUUGGAGCCAUCCUUUGGGCCAGCUGUUCCUUCCUGGUAACAGUCACUGUAUAUGCCCAAAAGGGACAAUUGAUCCACCAGCCCCCUUAUGGGAACUGCCACCAUGCUUCAUACGUGUUAUCUGGAAUCCAUCCAGCAAUAUGAAGGUGAUUGUCCUUGUCCCAAUAUUAUACCAUAAAGAAAUUGGGGCUCUGAUGAAUUAAGUGACGAAGACCACACUGGUGGCUGGUAGGGCUGAGAUUCCAAUCUCUGGCACUCCUUGCCUCUAGCAUUCUAAAGCCCAUCAAUUAUAAUAUAUUUGAAGAAGAACCACAUAGAGAUUUUAUAAGAGCUAAAGCAAAAUUAAGUAAUAAAACGUGGAGGAAGAGUGGAAAUAAUAAUCAAAAUAUCAGCAUAUAGAUGAAUUUAAUCAAAUAACAAGCAUAAACAAGUCAACCUGCAGCUGCUUGGUGGAUUACAGAUUGCCUAAAGUCAGAUUCAUAAGCUUCUUUAUAACAUCUUUCCAAGUAUUCAAAUAAACUGCCAUGACUUUAGGCGAAAAGGAUUUUCUAUUCAUAUGUAUGAAAUAUUUUGUUCCUAAUUAUUCCUCCUUAGAGUGAAUAAUAAUGUCUGGUACAAGAAGUCCCCUUUGUGGCUCAGCAGUAACGCCUGACUAGUAUCCAUGAAGAUGUGGGUUCGAUCCCUGGCCUAACUCAGUGGGUUAAGGAUCCAGUGUUGUUAUGAGCUGUGGUGUAAUUUGCAGACGCAGCUUGGAUCCUGUGUUGCUGUGGCUGUGGUGUAGGCCAGCAGCUGCAGCUCUGAUUCAACCCCUAGCUAGGGAACUUCCAUAUGCCA
rnacentral:lncRNA from 1 species